GCGGACGGCUCAGUAACACGUAGUCAACCUAACUCGUGGACGUGGAUAACCUCGGGAAACUGAGAAUAAACCACGAUAGAUCAUAGUGCCUGGAAUGGCUUAUGGUCCAAACAGUUUACUGCCAUGGGAUGGGACUGCGGUCUAUCAGCUUGUUGGUGAGGUAAUGGCCCACCAAGGCGAUUACAGGUACGGGCUCUGAGAGGAGAAGCCCGGAGAUGGGUACUGAGACACGGACCCAGGCCCUAUGGGGCGCAGCAGGCGAGAAACCUUAGCAAUGUGCGAAAGCACGACUGGGUCAGUCCGAGUGAUUCCUGAUAAAGGAGUCUUUUGCUUGUCCUAAAAGCACAGGUGAAUAAGGGGUGGGCAAGUCUGGUGUCAGCCGCCGCGGUAAUACCAGCACCUCGAGUGGUCAGGACGUUUAUUGGGCCUAAAGCAUCCGUAGCCGGCUUUGCAAGUCUUCGGUUAAAUCCACCUGCUCAACAGAUGGGCCGCUGGAGAUACUACAGAGCUAGGGAGUGGGAGAGGCAGACGGUAUUCAGUGGGUAGGGGUAAAAUCCUCUGAUCCAUUGAGGACCACCAGUGGCGAAGGCGGUCUGCCAGAACACGUUCGACGGUGAGGGAUGAAGCUGGGGGAGCAAACCGGAUUAGAUACCCGGGUAGUCCCAGCUGUNAACGAUGCAACUCGGUGAUGCAUUGGCUUAUGGCCA
rnacentral:rRNA from 1 species